rnacentral:lncRNA from 1 species
AAAGAAGUGGUUCAAUCCUGGUGCCGCUAAAGCUAAUGUUGUAGAGUAUGGUCAAAGUAAUAAGAACUACAAAAACAAGUCUGGGCCAUCCGGUGGCAAAAGGACCAAGCAAGGAUUGAAAUGUGGAAUUUCUAAAAAGAAAUUUCAAGAAAAAUGUUUCAAUUGUGACAAAAUGGGCCAUAAGUCUUCGGAGUGCAGAUUGUCAAAGAAGAAGAAAGAAACAAAUAUGGUUGAUUACAUAGCACAAGAUGUGUCGGAGCUGAAUUUCUCAGCUGUCAUUUCUGAAGUGAACAUGGUGGGUUCAAACCCUAAGGAGUGGUGGAUUGAAACCGGUGCUAGAGGCAUGUGUGCUCUGAUAAGGAGUUGUUUGCUGCGUCUGAAGCAAUUGAGAAUGUGGAGAAGUUGUUUAUGGGAAAUUUAGCAACUUCUGAAAUCAAAGAUCAAGGAAAGGUGGUUUUGAAGAUGACCUCGAGAAAAGAGCUGACUCUCAACAAUGUGCUAUAUGUGCCGAAAAUUCUCAAGAACUUAGUGUAUGCAUGUGAUUUAAUUCACAACGAUGUAUGUGAUUUAAAACUCGUAGAAACAAGAGGUGGCAACAAGUAUUUCAUUACUUUUGUUGACGAUAACACCAAAUACUAUUAUGUGUAUUCGUUAAAAAGUAAAGAUGAAGCUAUGGA